UUUAUAUUCUCUCCGUCUUAAAAUUCUUGUCUUAGAUUUGUCUAGAUAUGAAUGUAUCUAGUCAUGUUUUAGUAUUUAGAUACAUCCAUUUGUAGAUAAACUUAAUACAAGAAUUUUGGAGCGGAGGGAGUACAUG
rnacentral:pre_miRNA from 1 species